UAGGCAUAAGACGAAUUUCACGUUCCUCGCGGAUGAAACUGUGAUUAAAGUAAAACGCGCCAAACUUUUCCUGAGCUUUUGUGUGGUGCAGAGCAGUUCGUAAAUCGAUUGUCCGUAACUGAUUUCUGUAAUUAUGGAGAAACUACUAUCAAAUGAUACAAUACAUAACGUAUCGUGAGACAAAACGGAGAUCUCUUCAACAAAGAUAUCGAAUUCGAUUGGCGAUGGUGUGAGAGGUUCAUCCGCGGGUAUUCGGGUAAAACGACAACCGGAUAUCGCGUUUCUGUAGCGAAGGACGGGCAGGAAAUUAUCCCGCGGAAAGCUGCGACGGCACAGCACGCACAGUCUGCAAUAUCCAGCACGGAUAUCAAAGCAUGAGACAAUUUUCGGAGGUGAAACGAAGAAGGUGCGGACGCGUGAUCCCAUCCAAAAAGUUUGCAAUCAACAUUGCAAGAAAAGAAUGAAAGAAGCAACGAGAGGAU